ACGUUAGCGGCGGACGGGUGAGUAACACGUGGGUAACCUACCUAUAAGACUGGGAUAACUUCGGGAAACCGGAGCUAAUACCGGAUAAUAUUUCGAACCGCAUGGUUCGAUAGUGAAAGAUGGUUUUGCUAUCACUUAUAGAUGGACCCGCGCCGUAUUAGCUAGUUGGUAAGGUAACGGCUUACCAAGGCGACGAUACGUAGCCGACCUGAGAGGGUGAUCGGCCACACUGGAACUGAGACACGGUCCAGACUCCUACGGGAGCAGCAGAU
rnacentral:rRNA from 1 species